rnacentral:rRNA from 1 species
GACGAACGCUGGCGGCGUGCCUAAUACAUGCAAGUAGAACGCACAGUUUAUACCGUAGCUUGCUACACCAUAGACUGUGAGUUGCGAACGGGUGAGUAACGCGUAGGUAACCUGCCUGGUAGCGGGGGAUAACUAUUGGAAACGAUAGCUAAUACCGCAUAAUAUUAAUUAUUGCAUGAUAAUUAAUUGAAAGGUGCAAUUGCACCACUACCAGAUGGACCUGCGUUGUAUUAGCUAGUAGGUGAGGUAACGGCUCACCUAGGCGACGAUACAUAGCCGAACUGAGAGGGUGAUCGGCCACACUGGGACUGAGACACGGCCCAGACUCCUACGGGAGGCAGCAGUAGGGAAUCGUCGGCAAUGGACGAAAGUCUGACCGAGCAACGCCGCGUGAGUGAAGAAGGUUGUCGGAUCGUAAAGCUCUGUUGUAAGAGAAGAACGGGUGUGAGAGUGGAAAGUUCACACUGUGACGGUAUCUUACCAGAAAGGGACGGCUAACUACGUG